AGCAGUAGUACUUUUUGUCGAGUACAAUGAAGGCUGCUUUGUUGUUUGUUGCUGCACUGGUAGUAGUGGCGGAGAUCCACGGACAACCAGAAGAGUCCACCACCGACAGCAUCGGAAAUGAGGAACUAAGCGCCGGCAAUAUCACGGCUGAGAGUAGAUUUCUGGGGAGGUCGUCGUAUACGGAAGAUGACGAUGACACCAUUUGCGUUGCAGCAGACAACAAAUUCUACUUGUAUGCUAAUUCGUUGAAGCUGUAUUAUUGCUACAACCAACUACCGAAAGUUUACGUGGUGAAACCAAAGAGCCAGUGUAAACCUUACCUGUCAGAUUGUCCCAGGAACUAGGAGUAUUGUUAGUCCGUUGGCUCAGCUUGGAUCGCCUGCGAGGGAGUGAACACUAAAUCGCUGACCUGCUGACUGAAGACACCUGCUAUUUCCAGAGGAGCCAAGAAACUGCAAGAGCGUCAGAACUUGACUCUUUUACUUAAACAUAACCGGUGGAAUCUACACAUCUUAUUCUGUGGCAGUUUUUGAUUACUUCACGACACGCAGUAAAUUGCAUGACUGUAAAUAUUAGUAUUAAAAACAUUGCAUUUGUAUUAUUUUUAUAUUUCUGUUGUUUCUAUAACAGUUGUAUGCCGACGCAAUAAAAGUGUAGUUUCAUGACGUCAACUGUUAUAUUAAACGGUAGAAGAUAUUUCUCUACCUACAGGUUCACGUAAAUACUGACAAACUACGGCUUGUUAUUAAUAACAUCAAAUGCAUUUCAUCCGUUACCCACGCUGACCUCCUAUAUUCCCAAUGUCCACUUCCAACCUUAACGCACUGACUGCCACGAGGACACCGGCGGCCACAGCAAAGACUCACGACUGACGCCACGGCUGGGCCUUACCUGGCCUGGGAAGCAAGUGAAAAAUUUAUAAUCCAGAGUAAGUGGUGUCAUAUCUCACGGUUCUAUAUAAAUUUAUUGCAAGCUAUUUGAAAUAUCGCGCCAAGAUGCGUGUUCGCAUUAUCGAAGUAGUAAAAGUGACCGUUUACCGUCUCAAUUACUAGAUCUUGU